CAACUUUUGACCCCAUACCGCAGUGCAAGGGUUAAAAUCAGUUGCGUUUUGACCAUGCAUUGGUAUUCUUGUGCUGAAAAUAUUUUAGUUUUGAAAUUCUUGUGACGUGAAUUUUCAUUGAGGCCAGUUGAGAGAAACACGGCGUCGAAUGCCCUACAGAAACGUUCUCGAAAGGGGAGCCGAGGCAAAAAUGACGCACAAAAUAAAAUAAAUAACCGUCCAUUACAACCAGACCUCCCCACCCCCGCGGACCAUAGUCAACAAGGACCACUGUGGGGCACGCCGCUGUCCCGUCUCAAGAUGGACUUAAGAAGCAAAAAGGAAAGAGUCCACGGGGCGGCGCCCCCGCCCCACCCCACAUCGGAAUACAGAAUAAUAAUCGCCAAAAGAAACGAGGGGGAUGAAAAAUAUAAAUAGCUCUAUCUAGGUACCUCUUCGAGAUAUUAAAAUUUGUUCAAGAAAUACGCCGGCCUUUCACAAUUUUGUUAAAAUAAAAUUAUACUUAGAUACCUACUACGAUUGUUAUUUUGGUAUUAUGUUUACAGGGUGUUUGAAUUUUAUUUUGUCGUAUAUUAAGUCUUGGAUAGUAUUUUAAGUCCGCCAUUGGUAUCUAAAUCUUUUAUGUCCUGUAAGUUUUUUCACAGAUUAAAAAAUCAUUUCUAUAGAAUUUUUAACCGACUUCCAAAAAGGAGGAGGUUCUACGUUCGGCUGUAUGUAUGUUUUUUUUUUUUAUGUAUGUCCAGCGAUAAUUCCGUCAAUUAUGGACCGAUUUUGAAAAUUCUUUUUUUGUUUUGUGUUAUCAAGAUCUUUGUAAGUUUGAGUAUUUCCAAGUUUUUCAAUAAUAUUUGACAGAUUGAUUUAUUCGUACUACUAAUUACUAUUAAUUUAAAUUAAAAAUAAAUAAAUAAAAUUAACCUAUAUUACAUAAUGUACAUUCAUUGGUAAGCACUAAUGGUACUUGGGAUCAAGAGCAAAUUAUAUUUACAACCAGGAACAAAUUCAUGACCUACUGCUCAAACUAUGUUAUAUUCAUGGCUGGUCGGAAAAUACUAUUAAGGCGAACCAUGGCAAUGGAUUUUUAAGCCAUCACUUUGGUAGGUACGUCAGAUAACAAAAAUGCCCUCUGAAAAUUGUCCAAGGUUAGGUACCACUUGAGUUUAAAUAUCUUUCUAUCUAGUCUGCGAAUAUCGGCUCUGA